GAUGAACGCUGGCGGCAUGCCUAACACAUGCAAGUUGAACGAGAAGUUCUGGAACAAGUCUUCGGACAAGGGAAGGGACGGGAAGUAGCGAACGGGUGAGUAACGCGUGGGCAACCAACCUUACACAGGGGGAUAACGCAGAGAAAUUUGCGCUAAUACCGCAUAAGCGCACAGGAUCACAUGAUCUGGUGUGAAAAACUCCGGUGGUGUAAGACGGGCCCGCGUCUGAUUAGCUAGUUGGUGAGGUAAGAGCUCACCAAGGCGACGAUCAGUAGCCGACCUGAGAGGGUGAUCGGCCACAUUGGGACUGAGACACGGCCCAAACUCCUACGGGAGGCAGCAGUGGGGGAUAUUGCACAAUGGAGGGAACUCUGAUGCAGCAAUGCCGCGAGAAGGAAGAAGGUUUUCGGAUUGUAAACUUCUAUCAGCAGGGA
rnacentral:rRNA from 1 species